AAAAAAAGUCUAUAUUGGCGUGACAAAUACUGGUAAGUUACUAUAUUCAUCUAGUUUUUGUUACCCACAAGAGAAUUAGAUGAUCCGAUGGGCUGAAGCUUCUAUGCGUUGGCUAGUACUGUAUAAUACUAAUGUUCUGCAAAGGAGACUGCCAAUGGCGUGAAGGAAGAGCUGCAGCAACUGCAUCUGUGAGACAAAAAUGAGGAAUGAGAAGUUGGGUUAACUUCUUCACAGGUAGGGGAAGCAAUAGAUCAAGUUCACUGGCCACCGGCUGGCAAUGGCUAAACCGUGUUUGCUUGCUUUUCUUGUCACUGAAGUUGAGACUUCAGUAGUGCUGGUAUUUACAGUUUAGCCCUAUGCUUGAUCCACCCUAUUGGCUCAGAACUGAACUCAGCACUGCAAGUGCUUCAUAGGAUUAGGGCUGACACCGUGGCAGUAAUUGAUGCAGUAUGCUCUUGUUAUUGUGUUUCUAUCUCUUGUUAACUUUGUCGAUCCAACGAGUACUUGGAAGUUGGACGCAAGUGAGGCUGUGCCGUUCUGUUCCAGAAUUUAGAUGUCGUGUCUUCAAAAUUUCAUCGUCUUUGUUUCAACUCCAUCGGCAAUCCGGUGGGAUGUCAGAGCCAAUUACCAAUUUCCCGCGACUUAGUUGUUGUGAAAAGUUUUGACUUGGGAGUUGUUGAAAGCCAUGCUUGUUCGCCGUGUCUUCUUAUCUUGGAUGACAUAUGUCAAAAAGGGACUCACAUCUGAGAUCUUUCUAGAAGAUUUAAUUUACAAAAUCUAUAGUUUUUGUAUACUCUUUGAUAGGGUGGAAACUCUCGGACGAGGAAAAUGAUCCAUGUGAAAGAAUCCACUAAGAGGCGGAGAAAAUUCGAGACAUAUGCAAGCACAACACUGGAAAGGACCUUGAGAGAGAAAAACA